AUGAACGCUGGCGGCGUGCCUAAUACAUGCAAGUCGAGCGAACGGACGAGAAGCUUGCUUCUCUGAUGUUAGCGGCGGACGGGUGAGUAACACGUGGAUAACCUACCUAUAAGACUGGGAUAACUUCGGGAAACCGGAGCUAAUACCGGAUAAUAUUUUGAACCGCAUGGUUCAAAAGUGAAAGACGGUCUUGCUGUCACUUAUAGAUGGAUCCGCGCUGCAUUAGCUAGUUGGUAAGGUAACGGCUUACCAAGGCAACGAUGCAUAGCCGACCUGAGAGGGUGAUCGGCCACACUGGAACGGAGACACGGUCCAGACUCCUACGGGAGGCAGCAGUAGGGAAUCUUCCGCAAUGGGCGAAAGCCUGACGGAGCAACGCCGCGUGAGUGAUGAAGGUCUUCGGAUCGUAAAACUCUGUUAUUAGGGAAGAACAUAUGUGUAAGUAACUGUGCACAUCUUGACGGUACCUAAUCAGAAAGCCACGGCUAACUACGUG
rnacentral:rRNA from 1 species